rnacentral:lncRNA from 1 species
UCCGAUCUAUCAUCGUCGGCACCCCUGUGGUGAGCAGCCGCUCCCCAAGCCUCGUAACCAUGUCUGUUUUCCUCGCCGUAGUAGCCUUCCUGUCCGUGCCCACAUGCCAUGGCUUCCAUGGAAGCAGGCUCCAAUGCUUGUGCUUGGGUUCUCCGACCGCUCCUUGUUGCACCACACACGCACGCGCCCGUAGCCCCCGCAUGCAUCUGCACCCGCGCGCACACCCUGCCUGCUUGCCGCUCGCUCGCCGCGCCAUGCUCGCCCAUGCAUCGCUGUGCGCCGUAGCCGAGACGAGCUCCAGCUCAACGUUCGAGGUCCGGCCUCUUUCUUCUGCUCCCCACAUGUACGCGCAUACCCAUGCAUGUUUCCGCGGCCCCGCCGUCUACCUGCAGCCACUGGUGUUGGCUCCCGUCGCCGGCCAUGUCCACCGUGCGUCCAUGGGGAAGAAGGCCUGGCUUUUGUCACUUCAACAAUAGAAACGCUUCUCCGUGUUCACAUAGGCAGCAGCAGCGGAGUGGCUCUGGCUACAGAGCUGUACCCAGACGACCAGGGAUCAAAUCCCCACGGGCACAACACUUUUACAUCAAUUUGGCUCACCCAGAUCAAGCUCUUGACUCUUCAUGUUCAGCUGAGCUCCUCUGUUACCACCAACACGCCCCUGUCCUAGUGGUCUUCAAUUUGUGCUUUCAUCUAGUAGGUCCUGGGUUCGAGUCCCAGGCGCCUAGUUUUUGCACUAUUUUCCGUUCUGCACACACCGUCACUCGGGCCAAAUUGGGCCGCUGCAGGAUCCUGCAAUUCGGCCCGAUCGUGUUUUUUUUAUCAGUCAUGCGUUUUGCUAUUUGUCUACUGCAUUGCAUAUUUAAAGGAUUGCCAUUGUUUUCCAUUAUUUGUAGCUAAAUAUCCAUGCAUCCAAAUGAAACUUGCCAUAUAUGCAUCUUGCUUAGAUUUUCAUGUUCUUUAUCAGUAUGCAACUUUCACCCUUGUUAAAAUGUUUAAAAUGUUGUUUGAGUAAAUUUGCUUAAAUGCCAUGCUAAAAUGAUUUAAAUCACUACUAAAUAACCGUAGCUCCAUUUUAAACAAACUUUAUAUGUAAGUGGGGUAGAAAAAUGCCUAGUUUAACUUGGUGGCAUCACUUUGCAUGUUUAACAACUAUAAAAUUGUGUUUAGGACAGAACAAUACCAAUUCUUAAUAUGCACAUGAGGAUUUUCCGGACUUGUUGUUUGUUGUUCUGGCCUCAUUUAAACUUGCCUAGAUAGGUAGUUUUCUUUUGCUUCACCUCUUGCCAUGUUAAUCAACAUGUAAUGUGGUUGAGUACAUAAACGGGAGAGAACUAAAUAAGUCACGUGGUGUUUCGUCAAUAUGCAACUCGUUGCAUAUUGAGCUCCACUUAAUUUGUAGGAUUGUUUGUGCACUUUGUCAUGCCAUGCAUAUUUAAACCGGACAUGCAUCAUACUUGUUUGUGCAUCAUGCCAUGUUUUGUGAUGGUUGUUUACUAUGUUGUUUGCUUCUUUUUGGUGUUGCUUCUUCGGGUUAGUUUCGAUAACGUCGCGUUUGUGUGGAUUCGUUCGACUACGUCCGCUUGUCUUCUUCAUGGACUCGUUCUUCUUCCUUGCGGGAUUUCAGGCAAGAUGACCAUACCCUUGAAAUCACUUCUACCUUUACUUGCUAGUUGCUCGCUCUUUUGCUAUGCCUAUGCUACGAUACCUACCACUUGCUUAUCAUGCAUCCCAUAUUGUUAAGCCAAGCCUCUAACCCACCUUGUCCUAGCAAACCGUUGUUUGACUAUGUUACCGCUUUGCUCAGCCCCUCUUAUAGCGUUGUUAGUUGCAGGUGAAGAUUGAAGUUUGUUCCUUGUUGGAACAUGGAGAUGUUGUUCCUUGUUGGAACAUGUUUACUUGUUGGGAUAUCACAAUAUAUCUUAUUUAAUUAAUGCAUCUAUAUACUUGGUAAAGGGUGGAAGGCUCGGCCUUAUGCCUGGUGUUUUGUUCCACUCUUGCCGCCCUAGUUUCCGUCAUAUCGGUGUUAUGUUCCUGGAUUUUGCGUUCCUUACGCGGUUGGGUAAUAAUGGGAACCCCUUGACAGUUCACCUUGAAUAAAACUCCUCCAGCAAUGCCCAACCUUGGUUUUACCAUUUGCCACCUAGCCUUUUCUUUCCCUUGGGUUCUGCAGACUCAAGGGUCAUCAUUAUUUUAACCCCCCGGGGCAGUGCUCCUCUUAGUGUUGGUCCAAACUGUCAGCCGCCGGUGGCCACCAGGGGCGGGAUUUGUCGGCACAUUCGGGCGGUGUUGCUGGACUUGUUUUACCAUUGUCGAAAUGUCUUGUAACCGGGAUUCCGAGUCUUAUCGGGUCUUCCCGCUAGAAGGAAUAUCCUUCGUUGACCGUGAGAGCUUGUCAUGGGCUAAGUUGGGACACCCCUGCAGGGUUUUGAACUUUCGAAAGCCGUGCCCGCGGUUAUGGGAAGAUGGGAAUUUGUUAAUAUCCGAUUGUAGAAAACCUGAAGUUGACCUUAACUAAAAUGCACCAACCUCGUGUGUUACCGUGAUGGUCUCUUCUCGGCGGGGUCCGGGAAGUGAACACGGUGUUGGAGUAAUGCUUGACGUAGGUUGUUCUAGGAUCACUUCUUGAUCAUAGUUGUCCGACCGUGCUUUUGUCUUCUCUUCUCGCUCUCUUUUGCGAAUAGGUUAGCCACCAUAUAUGCUAGUCGCUUGCUGCAGCUCCACCUCAUACCUUGUACCUUACCCAUAAGCUUAAAUAGUCUUGAUCGCGAGGGUGUGAGAUUGCUGAGUCCCCGUGACUCACAGAUACUUCCAAAACUAGCCUGUAGGUGCCGUUGAACUGUGGAGAUGACGCUACCAAGCUCAAGGAGGAGCUCGAUGAAGAUCUUGUCCUUUGUGUUUUUCGUUCUAGUUGAUCAGUAGUGGAGCCCAAUUGGGGUCGAUCGGGGACCUUGUCGCUUUUGGGGUUUUUCUUUUAUUUUGGCUCCGUAGUCGGGCCCUGGUUGUACUUGGAUGAUGUAAUGCUUUAUUCAUGUAAUUGUGUGAAGUGGCGAUUGUAAGCCAACUAUGUAUAUUUCUCCUUAUUGUAUUACAUGGGUUGUUUGUGAAUAUUACCUCACUU